rnacentral:tRNA from 1 species
GCCUGGGUGGCUCAGUUGGUUGAGCAUCUGACUCCAGUUCAGGUCCUGAUCUCACAGUUCGUGAGUUCAAGCCCCACGUCAGGCU